rnacentral:rRNA from 1 species
CCUACGGGAGGCUGCAGUGGGGAAUAUUGGACAAUGGGGGCAACCCUGAUUCAGCCAUGCUGCGUGUGUGAAGAAGGCCCUCGGGUUGUAAAGCACUUUCAGUGAGGAAGAACGCCUGGUGGUUAAUACCCAUCAGGAAAGACAUCACUCACAGAAGAAGCACCGGCUAACUCCGUGCCAGCAGCCGCGGUAAUACGGAGGGUGCGAGCGUUAAUCGGAAUUACUGGGCGUAAAGCGCGCGUAGGUGGCUUGAUAAGCCGGUUGUGAAAGCCCCGGGCUCAACCUGGGAACGGCAUCCGGAACUGUCAAGCUAGAGUGCAGGAGAGGAAGGUAGAAUUCCCGGUGUAGCGGUGAAAUGCGUAGAGAUCGGGAGGAAUACCAGUGGCGAAGGCGGCCUUCUGGACUGACACUGACACUGAGGUGCGAAAGCGUGGGUAGCAAACAGGAUUAGAUACCCUGGUAGUC